UCUCUGAUUCGCUGUUGGAGCACUGGGAAUCAGGAAUCUGGACACAGUUCCUGCCUCUGCUAGGGACUUCUCUCCCCCCUAAAAAGGGUCUCCGUGCUCCACGACUGGGUUACCUUCUGUGCAAGAUGGGAUCCUGCUCAUGUAACCUAAUGUCGCAAACUUGAUGGUGGGAUUUUGAGAUUAUCAAGGCCGCUGAGAUGAGAACACAUGUUUUUCCUACUGCAUUAAGCGUUUUGAAUGUAUGCUAAAAAUGUUAAUACGUUAUUCAAGGGACUGGAAUUUUUCUUUCAGCUUUGCCCUGGAGUCAGAGCUGCAGCAAGGCUGGGGCGAGAGGGACAUCUGUCCGCUGAGGAAGGCCCCAAAUGCGUGCAAAUACGCCAGACCCCCCCAGCCGCUGUGGUGACCUGGAAAAACAGCCUGGAGAUUUACAGUGAGCAGGAGGUGACGGCAGCAAUGGGAAGGAGCCCAAAAAGGAGGCGACAGAGUGCCCUGGGCACCCAGCGGGCACCAGGAAUAAAACCUCUGCAAAUAGAAAGGGCCGGUGGGGCCCCGUCACCAUGGCAUGAAGUGGCAAGGAGGCUCCCCGGGGGGCCGGGAAGGUCCCGGGGCGGCACAGACCCUGCCGCACAGCCUGGCAGCUGCACCAAGGCUGUGCGGGAGGGCGGAUGGGCACCACGAGCCAGGCGCCGUGCUGCCUGCCGGCCAUCGGGUGCACAAAUCCCAGAGCCCAUUUGGAGACUUUUGGUAUUUCUCCCCUUUCUGGCUUUAUCACGUAUGGUCAUUUCAUUUGUAUUGCAAAAAAUUCUUGUAUUGGCUUGUCCUCAUCCUGAAUCUGCAGUGAGCCAUCAGACCGAGUUUUCCUCCUGAAGGGUACCCACAGCUAGACACUGGUGUUUUGCAGUAUCAUUUGAACAAGGGUCAGGUUUCUCUUUGGAUUUCUAAACUCCAGUUUAACUCCAGUUGACCUGCAGGAGGGCCGAUAGCAGAGCCGCCCUCCAGGUAGCUGAGCUCAGCGUGCAGGCGCAGGAUGUCUUGCUGGCUCUUGGCAGAGUCUUUGCUGCACAUCCACCGGCAGCGUUGCAGGGGCACAGAGCACGCUACCAGCGCCGGCGUGCAGUGCUGGGGAAAAAAUCCCACGUGCAGAGAAGUGGAAACCGCGUGGCUCUGCAGAAGGAAGUGGGGAAGAAUUUUGGGGGCAUCACCAGGCUGAGCAGGACCCUGUGAGCAUUUCCGAACCAUGCUGUGCACUGCAGAGCUCAGUGACUUGAAUGGGACAUGCGUGUGCUCAGUCUGCUCUGCCAUCCUCAGCACCUGGCAGGAUUGUGCCCAUAUUUUGACUCCUAAACAUGGCCUCAGUGUGGCCUGGCGUCGAUGUCAGCCCUUGCAGCAAGCAGAGCAUGUGGUUCAGCCUGUCUGCUUGCAGCUUGCUUUUUUCCAUCCUCUCGCGGUUCUAUCACUACCAUAAAAUGCAGGUCUGACCUUUUUGUCCUCAGCAAGCUAUUCAUUUAAAAUACAAACACUGUCCUCAAACAGCAGUCAUUAAUACGGGGCAGCAAAUUCUUUUCUUUGUUCUUUAUUGUUGAUUUCCCCCAUUGGGGAACUGGGUGGCAGGAGAACUGCAUAGCUGCAGGAGCACAUUGCUAAUUGCGUACUUUGAAAUACUAAUUUGAAUGCGUUGGUUUGGUCACAGAGGGAAAAAGAAACAAGCCAGGGGGUGAUAAAAAAAUGUCAAGGUUAUAGACCUCACAGAAGCGCUUUGGCCUGGAAUUUUUAUUAAUUCUUUAAUUGCAAAUUCCAGGGCAAUGGCCACACAUCCCAUACCUCCCGCAGAGCGCCAGGUAGCACACUGCGAUUCGCCCUGUAGACC
ensembl:lncRNA